rnacentral:sRNA from 2 species
CAACGCCUGACUUGGCAAAGAUCCAUGAGUCUGGUCAUUCGACAACCCCGGGUCCACGACCCACCCUACGCCAGGCACGGCUGAUGCUCGCUAUCUUUUCUUCCUCCACUGAGCCAAAGAGGAGAUAGUGUACACUACCAUCCGAGACCCAAACUGUCGGUUCUACCCUGACCGGAUGUUAGCUCAACCUUCCCGUAUCUCCGCAAUACCCACUGGUCCGUCAGUUUCUGACGAUACAGCGUAUUUUGGAUGCGCCUAUAUUGGACGAGACCCCAUUUCACACCCUCUGUUCCCCGGCUUUGGCCGUCCCUCUACGACUUGGGGUGAAGCUGGUCUGGCUCUUGACCAUUCCCGACUCCCCUUCCCAUAGUUGUACCGCGGCUUUCCAUAUACGGACCAUGCGACAGGUACAUUGGUGAUAUGCGAGCGACCCCGAAGAUCCAAGAGCACAUCUGUCGAAAGAAGCUAGUCACAAAAUCUCGCAAUCUGCAUGUCAAAGCAUUCCAUCAUGUCUAGGAUGCGAUCUUCCAGACUUACGAACCCAGUCAUAACAAGACAAGCCUCCUUCCUCGGCGUCCGGUAUCGUAGCGUUGCGGGCAUCGUCACUUUCCAUACGUGUCGCCUAGCGGAUGGGUUCGGGCGGCUGAGAGCCCAGGGGGGGACGAAGUACUCCCCAAAGAUCACCCCAAGGGGUAACCUGCUGUCUCGCUGUUUGACAGGCAUGACCUAUCACGUUGCUCAAAUCUUCCUUGUUGACAGGUAUCGCAACACAUCGAAUUCCUCGCGGAGCGAUAUAAAGUAUAUGCGGUGAAGAACCAAAGUGUUUGAUCCAUGAAACAUGCAACCUGCAACGGGGCUCUUAUCGAGAUCGCCCCUUCGACUACUGCAAAACCAGGAUCCUUUGGUUAUCGCUCAAUUUGACCUAGUACGACGCUAUUGCUAUGGCGGAGGCGCUUGUGGUUCGUCCGAUCCUCGAAGAACUCUCUGAUGUAUGAUGAUCGAAGCUAGGAUAGAUCGAUUUGAUGGAACCCAGGCUGAAUACGUGGUCGAUGAAAGCUCUUCGGGGACUUCAUCACAGUUUCACAUCACUUUCGUGGUCCUCUCCGCGCUUGUUCAGAGAGCUCGUGAUUGAAGCAUGUGGACGCGGUACCUGACCAGGCUUACUGGACCAGAAUAAGGCCGUCUUCCGUGUUUCGCAGUGGUGUGAAGUGUCUUAGGAUCUCCUUACUUCGUCUGCGCCCAAAUUGUUGGUCCCCCGAUAUUCUACCGUUCCGUCAAAUGGCUCAGCUUCUGCAGGCCUCCCAAGCGAUAUUACUACGGUGAUUAGACGAUAUAUCAGAUGGAAGGACAACACUUGAGGAAGGCGUCAAGUCACCAAGGACAAAUGCAGUGGCGCUCGUGGAAGCAUCAAGCCAUUCACGGGAAACAAAGUUACGGGGCUUCGAAACAUGUCGACAGGGGAGAUGUGCCGAACUGGGCUGCGCUUGGAAAAAAAGACACUCCGUGAGGAUGAGGAUGGGACAGCGGACGAUCACAUUGCACAUGCCCAAUCCUUGGAUGGAAACUCGCAUCCCGCUCCUUAGACGCAGCUGAAUUUGACUUGAAUAUACAUUCGUACCUGGGUGCUGUGGUAUCACCGAAUAUCUUGAUCGACCGACUCAUGUACUCGUUAGACCAGGUACGUGUGAUGAAAAGGGAUGAGUGUUUCAGCGAGACCACUUGAUGUGACGUGUGGCUGCCUCUGUCUGCCUGCAAGAUACAAGAUAAAAAGCCAGAGGGUAGAGGACGGGAUUGGAGAAAACAACUGGAGAAAACCGAAAAUGGGAAAUUGAAAGAGACAAGGAAAGCAAACAAGCGCAGUCUCUGCCAUAUCCUCGCCCACAGGUAACCACGUGAAAAUAUACCGACCACAUUUGAUCAUCGACUUUUCCUCCCUACGUACCACAAAUGCGCCGAGAAAGGGGGUCCCGUCCUCGCUCGGCCAUUCGGCAACUAUAUCGACCGCCCAACGGACAAACACGAUGCGCUCAUGCAAGAACAACAAUAUUGGGUUGCUAACACCUUGUCGGCAAAUCCCAGCGCUCUUGCUGUUCUGAUUCCUGCUGCCCCGCAGCAGAGGAGCAGCUUCAAGCGUCAUGCUGUCGUGGACCCAGCAAACACUUGACACAACUCAACUCUGCCCAAGUUUUAGGGUUCAAGACCCGGGAGGAUCGAUGCCGAUGAUCUGAAACUUGCACUCGGGUCCCAAUAGUCAGGCAAUCCUUGGCAGUAGUUGAAACCAGAUCGGCAGAAUGGAGCAAGACACGAUGAAGGAUAUGAGCUGAGAAUGCGAGGGUGUAAAUGUAGCGAGAGACGAAGAGGGCAGCAAAUACGAAUCCUCGUGAAGACUGGUUGAUUGAACCGAUUUGAAUAAGUGGAAUUUAACCCAGCUCAUCACCUCGUUCGUCGUUCUGGUGCUCUCCUCCCGGAGCCGCGUCCUGUUCCAAAUCGUCGUAGCUUUCCCCCCCAAUAUCCCAACCUAUCGACGACGGCUGAAGGAAAGGGUGGCUAUCGUCAUCUAUUCAUUCGCCGGCCCAAGUACCGUUAAACCUCAUCUUUGGACCCCGGUCGAGCGAUGCACAUCCCCGCUACCGUACAACCCAUCGUCGCUAACUGGCGUGACAGGCUCUGGUAUCGAGUUGCUCGCUUUCCCGGCACCAGCGCCUGUACCCGAACCUCCUCCAACCCCCAU